rnacentral:rRNA from 1 species
GACGAACGCUGGCGGCGUGCUUAACACAUGCAAGUCGAACGGAAAGGCCCUGCUUUUGUGGGGUGCUCGAGUGGCGAACGGGUGAGUAACACGUGGGUAACCUGCCCUUGACUUUGGGAUAACUUCAGGAAACUGGGGCUAAUACCGGAUAGGAGCUCCUGCUGCAUGGUGGGGGUUGGAAAGUUUCGGCGGUUGGGGAUGGACUCGCGGCUUAUCAGCUUGUUGGUGGGGUAGUGGCUUACCAAGGCUUUGACGGGUAGCCGGCCUGAGAGGGUGACCGGCAACAUUGGGACUGAGAUACGGCCCAGACUCCUACGGGAGGCAGCAGUGGGGAAUAUUGCACAAUGGGCGGAAGCCUGAUGCAGCAACGCCGCGUGCGGGAUGACGGCCUUCGGGUUGUAAACCGCUUUCGCCUGUGACGAAGCGUGAGUGACGGUAAUGGGUAAAGAAGCACCGGCUAACUACGUG